CAUCCAGCACCUUGUGCGGAAACUUGAAAACGGUCGACUUGAACGAAAGUCCGUUGGAGCAAGAAAAACGACUUCAAGCUCGGUUACAGGCCUUGGGAAAAGCAGUGGAGAAGGGUCGCCAAUUUUAUCCCAGUUGCUGUGAAGUUCUUGGCAGUUUCUGGAAAAUGAUGCAGAGGAUGUAAGAAUCAAAGAAAUUAAGGAGGAGAUCACUAAGGCAUUUGAGACAGACAAAGCUAGAAUUCACUCAACACACUUUUCCGCACCUUCACCAAGUGAAACUGAUACUGACUUCUUGUUGGAGAAGUUCGGAAAGCUGCUGAAAGGAAUUAAUAUAACAAGUAAAAGACAAACCAUGGGACUCGAUGAGGCAAUGAUGGCAUUCA